CGAACGCUGGCGGCGUGCUUAACACAUGCAAGUCGAACGCGAAAGGGACUUCGGUCCUGAGCAAAGUGGCGCACGGGUGAGUAACGCGUAGAUAACCUGUCUUCAUGUCUGGAAUAAUACGCCGAAAGGGGUACUAAUACCGGAUAUUCUUGCUUUUCAUAAGUUAUGCAAGCAAAGGUGGCCUCUGCAUAUGCUACUGCAUGAAGAGGGGUCUGCGUACCAUUAGCUAGUAGGUGGGGUAAUGGCCUACCUAGGCGACGAUGGUUAGCGGGUCUGAGAGGAUGAUCCGCCACACUGGCACUGGAACACGGGCCAGACUCCUACGGGAGGCAGCAGUGAGGAAUAUUGCGCAAUGGGGGAAACCCUGACGCAGCGACGCCGCGUGAGUGAGGAAAGGCCUUCGGGUCGUAAAGCUCUGUCAAGAGGAAAGAAGUGUACAAUGGCUAAUACCUGUUGUAUUUGACGGUACCUCUAAAGGAAGCACCGGCUAACUCCGUGCCAGCAGCAGC
rnacentral:rRNA from 1 species